rnacentral:rRNA from 1 species
UACGAACUGUGCAAACGUUAUUCGGAAUCACUGGGCUUAAAGGGCGCGUAGGCGGGUCUUCAAGUUUGGGGUGAAAUCCUCCGGCUCAACCGGAGAACUGCCUCGAAUACUGAAGGUCUCGAGGGGGAUAGGGGCAUGCGGAACUACGGGUGGAGCGGUGAAAUGCGUUGAUAUCCGUAGGAACUCCGGUGGCGAAGGCGGCGUGCUGGAUCCCUUCUGACGCUGAGGCGCGAAAGCCAGGGGAGCAAACGGG